rnacentral:misc_RNA from 1 species
AAGUCGUAACAAGGUUUCCGUAGGUGAACCUGCGGAAGGAUCAUUACAAGAUUGGAGGCUGGCGGCGCCUGGCGGGCAUGCCUGUCCGGUUACGUCCAGCCCCACUCCUCACCUUGCCUACUGCACCGUUUGUUGCUUCCUGGCGGCGGCGUCCCGCCGCCAGGGGCUUGUAAAAGCCUUGUAUAAGCAUUGAUAUCCUGAUGUACACUAAAUCAUACAACUUUCAACAAUGGAUCUCUUGGUUCUG